rnacentral:tRNA from 1 species
GCCUCCGUAGCUCAAAGGACAGAGCACCUGGCUUCGGACCAGGGGGUUGUGGGUUCGAGUCCUGCCGGGGGCGCCA